rnacentral:rRNA from 1 species
UGCGUAGGCGGGAUCGUAAGUGCUUUGUGAAAUCCCACGGCGCAACCGUGGAAGUGCUAGGCAUACUGCGAUCCUUGAGGUCGGUAGGGGCUGUCGGAACUGUAGGUGUAGCGGUGAAAUGCGUAGAUAUCUACAGGAACACCAAAGACGAAGGUAGACAGCUGGGCCGAUUCUGACGCUGAGGCACGAAAGCGUGGGGAGCAAACAGGAUUAGAUACCCUGGUAGUCC